GGGCCUGGUGGCUCUGCAGUUCCCAGGGGUACACAGUCUCUCAGUCGUAGCUGUUGUGAGUCUGGAAUUAUUCUCUCUUCAAUGCCACAGUGUCACGUGUUCUUAAAAUUUUGCAUCUUCUCUCUCCCCAUCCAGUCCCAAGAAUCCUGCCUGUAGGUACUUUUUUUUCUUCUCCCGCUCCAGCAUUUUAUUAUGAAAAUUUGCAAACAUAACGAAAAAAAUGGAAAGAAUUGUACAGUGAACACCCACGGCCUCGGCACCUAUGUUCUGUAAUUUGCAUUUCACUGUACUGGUUUUAGCAUAAGUUUGUUCCUAUCUCCACCUCUGCCAGUAUCCAUCCAUCCAUCCACCCUGUCUUCUUCUAGUGGAUUUCCAAGUAAUUUGCAGAGAGAAAUACACUCCAUCUCUCAUAGUUUCGCCUGCGUAUCAUUAACUAGAGUGUAGGAUUUAUUUACCCCUCUUUUGGGCUAACACUUAGACACAGGGAUGUUUCUAAGCCCUAAGUGUACUUUCAGUGGGUUCCUAUAUAUGUCUCUAGGGCCCCAAUUCCAUCAAGAUAGAGGACAUAUCCAGGAAGUUUCCUCAUGCCCGCCUUUCAGGAAAUCCUCAGCCCAGCCCACCCCUGCACAACCACUCUUCUGAUUUCAUCACCGUAGAUUAGCUUGGGCUUGUUCUGGAACUUUCCAUACACUCUGUGCUCUUUGACAUAAGCCUCCUUCAGCGAGCGGCAUGCUAUUUUUGAGAUUCACUCAUGUUUUUCUGUGUAAAUACAUCCUUGACUGUACAGACACACACAUACACACACUCACCCACCCAUGUAGGCAGACAUCUAUACACAUAACAUACACAUAAGACAAACUUCUCACGUAAAUGUUGGUAGGUUGGGUGUAUUUCUCUCCAGGAAGUGCCUUAUAGAUUUUGGUCCCUUUUCUUAGCUACAUCCUUUAGGUCAGCUUUCAAAGAGAUCUUUGUGAUGUCUGGCAGAUUAUUAAGAGCUUUGGUUGGCCAGGGAAGGUUAGUUUUGGAAAGGUCCCCUCCCAUAUCCCUCCAGAGUGGAACCGUGAGCUGGACUCCGCAACCUUGAGGUGGUGCGAAGGGAAGGAGAGGGCAGGGGAAGGGAGAAGAGAGCCAUGCGGGUACCAAAAACUGUCUGAUUUAUGGUGUCAACAGCCACACGUGUUCUGCAGUGGAAGUUGUUUCCAGGGGCCCGUGUGACGUUCUUCCCCUUUGGAGCUGGACACACUCCUUGUCACAAAUAGCAUCAGAGAGAGACAGGCUAGGAGUUUAAUCAGCCUAUGCCAGAGCCACAGCAACACGGGAUCUGAGCCGUGUCUGUGACCUACACCACAGCCCACGGCAACACUGGAUCCUUAACCCACUGUGCAAGGCCAGGGAUCGAACCCACAACCCCAUGGUUCCUAGUUGGAUUUGUUUCUGCUGCUCCACAACAGGAACUCCUUACUAGCCAAAUAUUAUGCAGUAUUUUUCUCCACUCAUGAAUUUUUUGGAUCUGUGUACAUGUGCUAGUUCAUUCAUUUGAAGUGCUGUCUUGUCUUCCAUCAGCUGACUCUCACCCUUGCCAUUUAUUUUUCCACUCCCCAGUAACACAUAUAAUACAAGUGCAUUGUCUUCAGUUCCCCGCUCUGGGUAAUUAAUAGUCUCCUUACCUAAGUGUUCAGACAAGGAACCUUAGAGCCCGCUGUUAAAUGACCCAGCUAAGGUGUCACAGUUUUCACAGGCAGUGGAACCAGAGAAUGAGCCAAAACGGACCAUAUCUUCCCUCCCAGGCAAUCGUCUUUCUCACUGCUCCACAGUUAUCUCCUUUCAGGAAAAGGAGAUGAUAAAUUUGCAGGAAGUGUUAGAGAGUUUUAUCUUUAAAAAGCUCCAGGGAGAAAACGACCUUGUUUUGAGAGCAGUGUGAAGGUUUGAUGCCAGAUGGGGUCUCCCCAUGUGUUUCGAGGGCAGAGAACAGACCCGUGUGUGGCGGGAGGGUCACCCCCGACUUGGGGUCUUGUCCGUUGCCUUCCUGGGUGGCUUCCUGGGCAGAGACAGUGAGUGUGACAACCACCUUGAAGCUGGCCUUCUUUUCACAAGGGCAGCCAGACACUCAGGGGACUUUAUCUCCCAGCAUAGAGAGUCCCUGGGGGAACGGGACCACUUCUGUCCUUGGGGGGGAGGGGUGUCCGCGGGGGGUGGUCCCCGCAUCCUUUUUUUCCCAUUUCCACUGAAUAUAGUGUCACUGGAGAGCAGGAUUUGAAACCAGUUAACCUCAAAAGAGGCCAGUCAUGUCUGUCCCCAUUUCUCUUUGAAAAAUGAUGAAUGAUAAACAGUCCUCGAGGUUUACAAAUCUACCAAAAGACGGUCAAGGUUCUGAAACAAUGAGGACAUUCUUUUCCACGCUGAGGAUGGCACCAGGGCCUUGACGCCACCUGGCUCGGUCACUGGCUUCGGAGAGGGCCUGGGGCUGUUUUCGCAACUUCCCAGAGUUUCAGUUUCCUUGUCUUUCAAAGCAGAUGCUGUUGACAGUCACUUGUACCAUCAGACCAAGACUGACCAAUUGUGAGCCUCAGGGCCCCCCCCUCGCAGGAGCCCUUCCAGGACCUCCUAUCUCAUUUUUAUUCGUAAUUUGAUAUGCGUUUUUAUAAAGUGCAUCCCCCAAGUUGUGUAAGCUGUGGCCCCACAAGCCAUGGGUGGGCCUCCUGGCUCAUAAGGUGGUUGUAAAGAUACCUGUUGCAUAGUUAGCGCCGUGGUACUUGUGAGCUCAUUAGGAUGAUUAUUUAAUGAAUAGCAUGUGCCUUGAGUGUCACCCCAUGCCUGGAACCGCAUGGGGGCUCAAUUAGUGGCAGCCUCGGUUCUUCUGUUCUCAAGUUGUGCGGUGUUCCGGUUUCCCAGAGUCUCCAUCUUCAAGGAAAAUGUGAGAAGGACCCAAGAUACCUGCCCCUUUCCCCCGCUGCUACCAUAAAUUCUGUGUAUAAUAGAUGAAAAUCCUUUAAUUCCUUAAGAGUUUCCUGCCUCUUCUGUCUUUUCUCCAUCAUCUGGCUCACCUGGUCCAGUCGACCCUGUGCUCCAGGGGAGGCCAGCAGUCAGCCAGGUGGGGACACCACGAGGCUGCAUGUCAUCUUCUCCUGUGCUUUCUUCUCAUCCCAAAAGACUGUGAAGGAGUUCCCUGGUGGUGUAUAGUAGGUUAAGGAUCCAGCAUUGUCAUUGUAGUGUCUAGCCCGGAAACUUCAGCAUGCUGCGGGUUCGGCCAAAAAAAAAAAAAAA
rnacentral:lncRNA from 1 species